GAUGAACGCUGGCGGCGUGCUUAACACAUGCAAGUCGAACGGGACUUGUUAAGUUGAAACUUCGGUCGAUUCUUUUCAAGUCUAGUGGCGGACGGGUGAGUAACGCGUGGGUAACCUGCCUCACACUGGGGGAUAACAGUCAGAAAUGACUGCUAAUACCGCAUAAGACCACAGCACCGCAUGGUGCAGGGGUAAAAACUCCGGUGGUAUGAGAUGGAUCCGCGUCUGAUUAGCUAGUUGGUAAGGUAACGGCUUACCAAGGCAACGAUCAGUAGCCGACCUGAGAGGGUGACCGGCCACAUUGGGACUGAGACACGGCCCAA
rnacentral:rRNA from 1 species